rnacentral:misc_RNA from 1 species
GAUGAAGAACGUAGCGAAAUGCGAUAAGUAAUGUGAAUUGCAGAAUUCAGUGAAUCAUCGAAUCUUUGAACGCACAUUGCGCCCCCUGGUAUUCCGGGGGCAUGCCUGUUCGAGCGUCAUUUCAACCCUCAAGCUCUGCUUGGUAUUGAGUCCAUGUCAGCAAUGGCAGGCUCCAAAAUCAGUGGCGGCGCCGCUGGGUCCUGAACGUAGUAAUAUCUCUCGUUACAGGUGCUCGGCGUGCUUCUGCCAAAACCCCAAUUUUUCUAUGGUUGACCUCGGAUCAGGUAGGGAUACCCGCUGAACUUAAGCAUAUCAAUAAGCGGAGGA